AAACCAUGCACCGAAGCUGCGGCAGCGACGCUUAUGCGUUGUUGGGUAGGGGAGCGUUCUGUAAGCCUGCGAAGGUGGCCUGUGAGGGUUGCUGGAGGUAUCAGAAGUGCGAAUGCUGACAUAAGUAACGAUAAAGCGGGUGAAAAGCCCGCUCGCCGGAAGACCAAGGGUUCCUGUCCAACGUUAAUCGGGGCAGGGUGAGUCGACCCCUAAGGCGAGGCCGAAAGGCGUAGUCGAUGGGAAACGGGUUAAUAUUCCCGUACUUGGUGUUACUGCGAAGGGGGGACGGAGAAGGCUAUGUUGGCCGGGCGACGGUUGUCCCGGUUUAAGCGUGUAGGUGUGUGUUCCAGGUAAAUCCGGUUCACUUUAACACUGAGGCGUGACGACGAGGCACUACGGUGCUGAAGCAACAAAUGCCCUGCUUCCAGGAAAAGCCUCUAAGCAUCAGGUAACAUCAAAUCGUACCCCAAACCGACACAGGUGGUCAGGUAGAGAAUACCAAGGCGCUUGAGAGAACUCGGGUGAAGGAACUAGGCAAAAUGGUGCCGUAACUUCGGGAGAAGGCACGCUGACACGUAGGUGAAGUGAUUUACUCAUGGAGCUGAAGUCAGUCGAAGAUACCAGCUGGCUGCAACUGUUUAUUAAAAACACAGCACUGUGCAAACACGAAAGUGGACGUAUACGGUGUGACGCCUGCCCGGUGCCGGAAGGUUAAUUGAUGGGGUCAGCGCAAGCGAAGCUCCUGAUCGAAGCCCCGGUAAACGGCGGCCGUAACUAUAACGGUCCUAAGGUAGCGAAAUUCCUUGUCGGGUAAGUUCCGACCUGCACGAAUGGCGUAAUGAUGGCCAGGCUGUCUCCACCCGAGACUCAGUGAAAUUGAACUCGCUGUGAAGAUGCAGUGUACCCGCGGCAAGACGGAAAGACCCCGUGAACCUUUACUAUAGCUUGACACUGAACAUUGAGCCUUGAUGUGUAGGAUAGGUGGGAGGCUUUGAAGUGUGGACGCCAGUCUGCAUGGAGCCGACCUUGAAAUACCACCCUUUAAUGUUUGAUGUUCUAACGUGGACCCGUUACCCGGGUUGCGGACAGUGUCUGGUGGGUAGUUUGACUGGGGCGGUCUCCUCCUAAAGAGUAACGGAGGAGCACGAAGGUUGGCUAAUCCUGGUCGGACAUCAGGAGGUUAGUGCAAUGGCAUAAGCCAGCUUGACUGCGAGCGUGACGGCGCGAGCAGGUGCGAAAGCAGGUCAUAGUGAUCCGGUGGUUCUGAAUGGAAGGGCCAUCGCUCAACGGAUAAAAGGUACUCCGGGGAUAACAGGCUGAUACCGCCCAAGAGUUCAUAUCGACGGCGGUGUUUGGCACCUCGAUGUCGGCUCAUCACAUCCUGGGGCUGAAGUAGGUCCCAAGGGUAUGGCUGUUCGCCAUUUAAAGUGGUACGCGAGCUGGGUUUAGAACGUCGUGAGACAGUUCGGUCCCUAUCUGCCGUGGGCGCUGGAGAACUGAGGGGGGCUGCUCCUAGUACGAGAGGACCGGAGUGGACGCAUCACUGGUGUUCGGGUUGUCAUGCCAAUGGCACUGCCCGGUAGCUAAAUGCGGAAGAGAUAAGUGCUGAAAGCAUCUAAGCACGAAACUUGCCCCGAGAUGAGUUCUCCCUGA
rnacentral:rRNA from 1 species